rnacentral:rRNA from 1 species
AAUGAACGUUGGCGGCGUGGAUUAGGCAUGCAAGUCGAGCGCGAAACGUAGCAAUACGUGGAAAGCGGCGAAAGGGAGAGUAAUACAUAGGUACGUACCCUUGGACCUGGGAUAGCGGCGGGAAACUGCCGGUAAUACCAGAUAAUGUCUCCGGACCAAAGGUGUGAUUCCGUCUGAGGAGCGGCCUAUGUCCUAUUAGCUAGUUGGUAAGGUAACGGCUUACCAAGGCAAAGAUGGGUAUGGGGUGUGAGAGCAUGCCCCCACUCACUGGGGAUGAGACACUGCCCAGACACCUACGGGUGGCUGCAGUCGAGAAUCUUCGGCAAUGGACGCAAGUCUGACCGAGCGACGCCGCGUGCGGGAUGAAGGCCUUCGGGUUGUAAACCGCUGUCGUAGGGGAGGAAAUGCAGGUGGGUACUCCCAUCUGCUUGACUGAUCCUAGGAGGAAGGACCGGCUAAUCUCGUGCCAGCCGCCGCGGUAAUAC